ensembl:misc_RNA Metazoa_SRP Metazoan signal recognition particle RNA
UCUGGGCACAGUGGUGCAUAUCUAUAGUCCCAGCCACUCAGGAGGCUGAGGCAGGAGGUCACUUGAGCCACAGGAGUUCUGGGUUUUAGGGCAUUAUACCAAUUGGGUGUCUGCAUUAACUUCGGCAUCAGUAGAGUGACCCCUCAGAAGCAGGGGACCACCAGGUUGCCCAGGGAGGGUGAACCGGCCCAGGUUGCGAAUAGAGCAGAUCAAACAUCUCUCCUAUGCUGAUCAGUAGUGGGAUUGCACCUGUAAAAAGCCACUGCACUCCAACCUGGACAACACAGUGAAACCCGUCUCUU